rnacentral:rRNA from 1 species
UACAGAGGGGGCAAGCGUUAUUCGGAAUUAUUGGGCGUAAAGGGCGCGUAGGCGGCCGUGCAAGUGGAAGGUGAAAUCCCUCGGCUCAACCGAGGAACUGCCUUUCAAACUGCAUGGCUUGAGUCCGGGAGAGGUGAGUGGAAUUCCCAGCGUAGCGGUGAAAUGCGUAGAUAUUGGGAGGAACACCAGUGGCGAAGGCGGCUCACUGGACCGGAACUGACGCUGAGGCGCGAAAGCGUGGGGAGCAAACGGG